rnacentral:lncRNA from 1 species
UCGGGUAGUUAUAGUGUGUUAUAGUCGGGUGUUAUAAUGUUAUAGAGCUGUUAUACAGUCAGGGUAGUUAUAAUGUUAUAGUGCUGUUAUACAGUCAGGGUAGUUAUAAUGUUAUAGAGCUGUUAUACAGUCAGGGUAGUUAUAAUGUUAUAGAGCUGUUAUACAGUCAGGGUAGUUAUAAUGUUAUAGAGCUGGGGAAGCAGGAUGCUGGUGGUUCUGUAGACAGAGAUGAAUAAUGC